rnacentral:rRNA from 1 species
UACGUAGGUGGCAAGCGUUGUCCGGAUUUACUGGGCGUAAAGAGCGCGCAGGCGGUCGCUCAAGUCGCGUGUGAAAGCCCCCGGCUCAACUGGGGAGGGUCACGCGAUACUGAUCGACUCGAAGGCAGGAGAGGGAAGUGGAAUUCCCGGUGUAGUGGUGAAAUGCGUAGAUAUCGGGGAGGAACACCAGUGGCGAAGGCGGCUCUCUGGGACGGUACUGACGCUGAGACGCGAAAGCGUGGGGAGCGAACAGG